AGUGAACGCUGGCGGUAGGCCUAACACAUGCAAGUCGAACGGCAGCACAGGAGAGCUUGCUCUCUGGGUGGCGAGUGGCGGACGGGUGAGGAAUACAUCGGAAUCUACUUUUUCGUGGGGGAUAACGUAGGGAAACUUACGCUAAUACCGCAUACGACCUACGGGUGAAAGCAGGGGAUCUUCGGACCUGGCGCGAUUGAAUGAGCCGAUGUCGGAUUAGCUAGUUGGCGGGGUAAAGGCCCACCAAGGCGACGAGCCGUAGCUGGUCUGAGAGGAUGAUCAGCCACACUGGAACUGAGACACGGUCCAGACUCCUACGGGAGGCAGCAGUGGGGAAUAUUGGACAAUGGGCGCAAGCCUGAUCCAGCCAUACCGCGUGGGUGAAGAAGGCCUUCGGGUUGUAAAGCCCUUUUGUUGGGAAAGAAAUCCAGCUGGCUAAUACCCGGUUGGGAUGACGGUACCCAAAGAAUAAGCACCGGCUAACUUCGUGCCAGCCGCCGCGGUAAAAC
rnacentral:rRNA from 1 species